rnacentral:rRNA from 1 species
GGGGAUUAGUGGCGAACGGGUGAGUAACACGUGGGCAAUCUGCCCUGCACUCUGGGACAAGCCCUGGAAACGGGGUCUAAUACCGGAUAUGACGCGUUCCCGCAUGGGAUACGUGUGGAAAGCUCCGGCGGUGCAGGAUGAGCCCGCGGCCUAUCAGCUUGUUGGUGGGGUGAUGGCCUACCAAGGCGACGACGGGUAGCCGGCCUGAGAGGGCGACCGGCCACACUGGGACUGAGACACGGCCCAGACUCCUACGGGAGGCAGCAGUGGGGAAUAUUGCACAAUGGGCGCAAGCCUGAUGCAGCGACGCCGCGUGAGGGAUGACGGCCUUCGGGUUGUAAACCUCUUUCAGCAGGGAAGAAGCGUGAGUGACGGUACCUGCAGAAGAAGCGCCGGCUAACUACGUGCCAGCAGCCGCGGUAAUACGUAGGGCGCAAGCGUUGUCCGGAAUUAUUGGGCGUAAAGAGCUCGUAGGCGGCUUGUCGCGUCGGAUGUGAAAGCCCGGGGCUUAACUCCGGGUCUGCAUUCGAUACGGGCAGGCUAGAGUUCGGUAGGGGAGAUCGGAAUUCCUGGUGUAGCGGUGAAAUGCGCAGAUAUCAGGAGGAACACCGGUGGCGAAGGCGGAUCUCUGGGCCGAUACUGACGCUGAGGAGCGAAAGCGUGGGGAGCGAACAGGAUUAGAUACCCUGGUAGUCCACGCCGUAAACGUUGGGAACUAGGUGUG